rnacentral:rRNA from 1 species
UACGUAGGGUGCAAGCGUUGUCCGGAAUUAUUGGGCGUAAAGAGCUCGUAGGCGGUUUGUCGCGUCUGCUGUGAAAACUCGGGGCUUAACUCCGGGCCUGCAGUGGGUACGGGCAGACUAGAGGUAUGCAGGGGAGAACGGAAUUCCUGGUGUAGCGGUGAAAUGCGCAGAUAUCAGGAGGAACACCGGUGGCGAAGGCGGUUCUCUGGGCAUGAUCUGACGCUGAGGAGCGAAAGUGUGGGGAGCGAACAGG